UGCGGUGGGUACGGGCAGACUAGAGUGCAGUAGGGGAGACUGGAAUUCCUGGUGUAGCGGUGGAAUGCGCAGAUAUCAGGAGGAACACCGAUGGCGAAGGCAGGUCUCUGGGCUGUAACUGACGCUGAGGAGCGAAAGCAUGGGGAGCGAACAGGAUUAGAUACCCUGGUAGUCCAUGCCGUAAACGUUGGGCACUAGGUGUGGGGACCAUUCCACGGUUUCCGCGCCGCAGCUAACGCAUUAAGUGCCCCGCCUGGGGAGUACGGCCGCAAGGCUAAAACUCAAAGGAAUUGACGGGGGCCCGCACNAGCGGCGGAGCAUGCGGAUUAAUUCGAUGCAACGCGAAGAACCUUACCAAGGCUUGACAUGUUCUCGAUCGCCGUAGAGAUACGGUUUCCCCUUUGGGGCGGGUUCACAGGUGGUGCAUGGUUGUCGUCAGCUCGUGUCGUGAGAUGUUGGGUUAAGUCCCGCAACGAGCGCAACCCUCGUUCCAUGUUGCCAGCACGUAAUGGUGGGGACUCAUGGGAGACUGCCGGGGUCAACUCGGAGGAAGGUGAGGACGACGUCAAAUCAUCAUGCCCCUUAUGUCUUGGGCUUCACGCAUGCUACAAUGGCCGGUACAAUGGGUUGCGAUACUGUGAGGUGGAGCUAAUCCCAAAAAGCCGGUCUCAGUUCGGAUUGGGGUCUGCAACUCGACCCCAUGAAGUCGGAGUCGCUAGUAAUCGCAGAUCAGCAACGCUGCGGUGAAUACGUUCCCGGGCCUUGUACACACCGCCCGUCAAGUCACGAAAGUCGGUAACACCCGAAGCCGGUGGCCUAACCCUUGU
rnacentral:rRNA from 1 species